GGAACCCGCAAGUUGGUCACCAAAACAUACAUCAAGUGGCACAUGAUAUCCCAUUGUCACCACAGAUAAGCACGGCAAGACAUACAUCAAGUGUUCUCAUAAAAGACUCAAUCCGAUAAGAUAACUUCAAAGGGGAAACUCAAUUCAUCACAAGAGAGUAGAGGGGGAGAAACAUCAUAAGAUCCAACUACAAUAGCAAAGCUCGGGAUACAUCAAGAUCGUGCCAUAGAGGGAACACGAGAGAGAACACGAGAGAGAGAGAGAUCAAACACAUAGCUACUGGUACAUACCCUCAGCCCCGAGGGUGAACUACUCCCUCCUCGUCAUGGAGAGCGCCGGGAUGAUGAAGAUGGCCACCGGUGAUGGGUUCCCCCUCCGGCAGGGUGCCGGAACGGGCUCCCGAGAGGUUUUUGGUGGCUACAGAGGCUUGCGGCGGCGGAACUCCCGAUCUAUCUU
rnacentral:rRNA from 1 species